CCCUUAGAUGUUCUGGGCCGCACGCGUGCUACACUGAGUGGAUCAGCGGGUCAGGUUGCGCGAAAGUGUUUCCUAAUCUUUAAAUCCGCUCGUGAUGGGGAUUGACGGUUGCAAUUUUCCGUCAUGAACGAGGAAUACCUUGUAAGCGCGGGUCAUCAUCCCGCGCUGAAUACGUCCCUGCCCUUUGUACACACCGCCCGUCGCUCCUACCGAUUGAAUGUUCCGGUGAGCUCUUCGGACUGCGCGGUCUGCAGUUUCUGCGUUCUGUGCGGAAAGUUGUGCAAACCUUAACAUUUAGAGGAAGGAGAAGUCGUAACA
rnacentral:rRNA from 1 species